UACGGGGGGGGCGAGCGUUGUUCGGAAUCACUGGGCGUAAAGGGCGCGUAGGCGGCCCGCACAAGUCUGCGGUGAAAACCCCCGGCUUAACCGGGGGCCGGCCGUGGAAACUGUCGGGCUAGAGGCCGGGAGAGGGCAGCGGAAUUCCCGGUGUGAGCGGUGAAAUGCGUAGAGAUCGGGAGGAACACCGGCGGCGGAAGGCGGCUGGCCUGGACCGGCCCUGACGCUGAGGCGCGAAAGCUAGGGGAGCAAACAGG
rnacentral:rRNA from 1 species